rnacentral:rRNA from 1 species
CGUACACUCCUGCGGGAGGCAGCAGUGGGGAAUAUUGCACAAUGGGCGCAAGCCUGAUGCAGCCAUGCCGCGUGUAUGAAGAAGGCCUUCGGGUUGUAAAGUACUUUCAGCGGGGAGGAAGGCAAUACGGUUAAUAACCGUGUUGAUUGACGUUACCCGCAGAAGAAGCACCGGCUAACUCCGUGCCAGCAGCCGCGGUAAUACGGAGGGUGCAAGCGUUAAUCGGAAUUACUGGGCGUAAAGCGCACGCAGGCGGUCUGUCAAGUCGGAUGUGAAAUCCCCGGGCUCAACCUGGGAACUGCAUUCGAAACUGGCAGGCUUGAGUCUUGUAGAGGGGGGUAGAAUUCCAGGUGUAGCGGUGAAAUGCGUAGAGAUCUGGAGGAAUACCGGUGGCGAAGGCGGCCCCCUGGACAAAGACUGACGCUCAGGUGCGAAAGCGUGGGGAGCAAACAGGAUUAGAUACCCCGGUAGUCCCAUG